GUUGUAGAAUGCGGAUUUCGGAGCUAACAAGAAUAGCUAGCCACUAAGCUAAAAACAACCGUCUUGUUGUUUGGCUUCAAACUGGGGGAAAUGUCUAAAACGCACUCGCAGCCCCCGCAGUCUUCGGCAGCGACGACUACCGGGGGCACCUCUUCGUCCUCACCCGCGGGGGGUUCGACAUCUCCCGCAACCGUGUUGAACGUGCAGCCCGAGAAACCUCAGCAUUACACAUAUCUGAAGGAGUUCAGGACUGAGCAAUGCCCCCUGUUUGUGCAGCACAAAUGUACACAACACAGGCCCUUCUCCUGUUUUCACUGGCACUUCCUGAACCAGCGGCGUCGCAGGCCUAUUCGCCGGCGGGAUGGGACGUUCAACUACAGCCCAGAUGUUUACUGCACCAAAUAUGAUGAGGGAUCAGGCACCUGUCCUGAUGGAGAUGAAUGCCCAUUUCUACACCGGACAGCAGGUGACACAGAGCGCAGAUACCACCUUCGCUACUAUAAAACGGGAUCCUGUAUCCAUGAAACUGAUUCAAAAGGCCACUGCAGCAAAAAUGGCUCCCACUGUGCCUUUGCACAUGGGUCACAUGACUUGCGCAGCCCUGUCUAUGAUAUCAGAGAGGUGCAGGUGAUGGAGACUCAGGGAGGCUCAGGAGCCUCAGAGGGAGGUGGUGGAGGAGGAGACGGACAGUCAGGACAAGCAGCGAGUACUGCACUCAUAGAGAAGAUACUUAGCGAGGAACCACGUUGGCAAGAUAACAAUUAUGUGCUGUCCCACUACAAGACAGAGCUGUGUAAGAAACCGCCACGUCUAUGCCGUCAAGGUUAUGCCUGUCCGUAUUACCAUAACAGCAAAGACAGGAGACGCAGCCCGCACAAACACAAAUACAGAGCAUUGCCAUGUCCUUCAGUUAAACAGAGUGAGGAGUGGGGGGAUCCCAGUAAAUGUGAGGGAGCAGAGGGAUGUCAGUAUUGUCACACCAGAACAGAGCAGCAGUUUCACCCAGAGAUCUACAAAUCCACAAAGUGUAAUGACAUGCAGCAGUGCGGUAGCUGUCCCCGAGGGCCCUUCUGUGCCUUUGCUCAUAUUGAAAAGCCUUUUAUUCCAGAUGAACCAUCAAUCCCCUCUCCCAGCUCCCCUCCACCCUCCAGACCUCCUGACCCUCUUCCUGUUCAGGAGGCCCCUUCAAGCCCCAGUGGAAUGAGCAUGGGGCACGGGACUGGUUCCAUGUCAGACCCCUUUUCCCUGUCUGCUGGGUCAUGUGCAGCAGAGCACGGGCUGCUGGGCAAUGUUCUGUCCUUGUGUGAGGAGUUGAGCGGAGCAGUAGAGCCUCUGUCUCCGUGGGCAGGAGAAGGAGGAUACGGCAGGGCGCCGGGGUUUGAGAGGGAGGACCAGGCCAAGCAAAGGAGUUUUGCUCUAGAGCAGCGUAAUAAAGAAUUUGCAUCAGCACAAAGCAAACAGGACCUGUUAGUGUUUUUACCAGUGGGCAGCCCUUUGAGCUUGUCCUCCAGCAUCCCCUCGAGUCUGGCCGCUACUCCUCCGAGUCCUGCCCCUCUUGGACCACUGGGCUCAGGCAUCACCUCGGGCAUGAAUGCUAACGCUCUGCCUUUUUACCCCACGAGUGAGACGGUGGAAUCUGUAGUGGAAUCAGCCCUGGAUGAUCUUGACCUGAAUGAUUUUGGUGUGUCGGCACUGGAGAGGAGUUUGGAGAGCAGCUCUGCUUUGCCAAGCGUGGGAGUAAUGCUGGGAGGUAGCCAGCUUCAGAGUUCUGCCCCUGUCAACAUCCCCGGAUCCUUUAGCAGCUCUGCUCCUUUCAGCUCGCCUUCACCGUCUCCUCCAAUUAGGCCUCACACGUCUCCUUUCUUUUCCUCUCACCUGUCGCAGCAUGGCCAAUCAGAGAGCAGCUUCUUAGGUCCUUCACAUAGCUCUUUAGGUCUGAAUGGUAUGAGUACGAAUAUCUGGGAGCACUUUCCAUCCGGGCAGGGGUCCCCCGGGACACCCCCUGCCCUGCUGCCCUCUGGCCCCUGUGUAGAGGCCACCAGGCUCAAACAGGAGCUGGAGGAAGCUCACAGGACGCUGAAGCAGUGGGGUCACAGCUGGAGACACACAGCUCAGGUAGUCGUGGGCCACGGUGAAGGCCGACACGGAGGAGUCGCGAGCCCACGCGACACGGGCAGCCAUGGAGGUGGAGAGAACCAGGCAGGCUGAGGAGGAGGCGCAGAGACAGGUCACUCUCCUGCAGGAGGCGCUGGAGAGCUUAAGGAGCGGGGACAACCCGCAUCUAGCGCUGCAUCAGCUGCAGCUACUGCACAGACUGCCGAUGGAGUCGGUGCUGAGUUUGCAGGCUCAGCUUUGUAGCUGCUUACAUGCUGUAGAACAGGUUGUGUUCAGGAAACAGAGGCAGUGCUGUGUGACGUGUGGCAAGCCUGGCUCGGCGUUCCUGCCCUGCGGCCACGGACUACAGUGCGAGAGCUGCUCCGCCUCCACAGAGUGCCCGCUCUGCCCUGAACAGACCCUGGACCAACAGCGCUCUUGACGUCACAGCCCACGUCGGACCACGGCAGACCACCGACCAGUCAGUUCUGAUUCCUCAGAUACCAGCCUUGGACCUCAGCCGCCAUUAGGAGUUACAUUGAGGUAGUUUUAUAACAUGGUAACAACACUAUCACUGACCCGGUUUUGUAUUUUUAAGAUGACGUCGACUGGUCAAUGACCGACUUCCUGAGCGCCGGUCACGAAGUGAAAGCUCUUAAUGUCGAAUUUAGAAUUAACAAUUUUUUCCAGUGUUACCCGAGGAGCACCAGUACAUUUUUACGAGUAAUUGCUCUCAGCCAGCAACACUGUUUCUGAUUUGUGAAAGAAACUUAAAAGACCUGCUGUUAUUUCUUCACUAACCUUGAAACUCGGCUAUAUAUAUAUAUAUAUAUAUAUAUAUAUAUAUAUAUAUAUAUUCCUAAAUGAUAUUUUAAUGUUUCAAAAAUAUGAGCUCAUCCGAAAGAUGCAGAAAACACAUCUCUGUGCGUUUUCUCUCCAUCUGGACAGUUUCAGCUGGUUUUGCUGUCACGAAGGUCAAAGGCAUUUGUUAGUUUUUUUGGAAUUCAAAUCUCUGGGACAUUUCAAAUGUGAGUUGAAAACUCUGGUCUCCUUUCAGAAAUCGAGACAAUUGCUCAUGACAAUGAUCAUUUCUUUAGAACCUUUUCAGUCCUCCACAGUUAGGAGCUCCCUCUGACUGUGGCUAAAUAAACCACAGAUGUAAACAGCAGUAAGGUCCAACUUGAGGCUCAUUUAUGCUGAACAAAAACAGGUCCUUUGUCCGUCCUCUGCAUUCAUGUCAGCCGUAUUUGUGCACAUCUACUGAAAGCCUUCAGAUACAGACACGCUGACGAAGCGGCAGUACCACUGGCAAUCAUGGGGGGGCAGUGUAGUCCAUGUGAGACGGCCCUCAGGAGGAACACAUUUUUAAAGUAGUGAAAACGGAAGAGUAUUAGGGCCAUGUGUA